UCUGUUAAAGGACAGGGUACUGGAUGAAAACUGAUCUAUCUCCUCUCAUUCCCAAUGAACAACAGCAGAAAAUACAGAGAUUGCAGCAGCUCAAGAUACAUCUUUAGAGGCAGGUCAAACAGCUAUCUGGGAAUUGCCAUAGCUGUAACAAAGGCUUUGAGAUCUCCAUACAAAACAAGAGGGAAAUCCUCAGACUCAAUUUCAGAAGACCAAGCAUCACAUCCUGCUUUCCAUCAAGGCUUCACAAGACAGCAAACUUCCUUCCAAAUGAAGGCUUUCCAUGUUCUGCACUGCUUCUGAAUGAGAUACUGACAAAGGUGAAGAGGACAAGAGAUACACGAAUGAAAAGAAUAUAAAAAUGAAGCCAAUCAAAGAUUCUUGGUUACAACAUCCAAAGUACAUUCUGGAAAGUUUCCUGUAUAACUGAAGUCUACAAGAAUCUUAAGAUAACUAACAAAAGCUAGGAAAAGAAGAAAGUAUGAAAUUUCUAUUAGCAGUAUGCUGAACAAUUCCAGAGGCAGCAGAAGGGACCUUGAAGGAACAGAUUAAGCAGAUGCUUGACAGCCCAAAACCUGUUUUCCCAGGAUUGACAAAAUACAUAAAUUGACAGUGUUUAAUACAUAAAUAAAUCAGUGUUUGCUCAUUUGAUUAAUUUAAACAUGAAUAAAUCUUACAAUCUGAUUUUUUGUUGUUUGUAAUCCUGUUG